UCUCCAUCCAGGAACCUUUGUGUGGGUUGCAUGGUUUCUAAUUUAUCCACGAGAGACUUGCUGUAAUUCCUCUGAAGACACCAUCUUUUUCUUCACUGAAGAUUAAAGAAAUAUUUCAGUCAUCACUCGAGCCUACUUUAUCUGAAGUUAGAUACCUUCGCAAAUAUUGACCGGCCUUCUAGAGUUGUGGUUUCGGAAAUAAUAAACUUUGCCUACUGACUGUACGCAGACGAGGCAGUGAAAGUGGACCUGCAGAUAUUAAAUUGGAUUCAAUCCUUAUAGUUUUUGUCAAAAAGAGCAUGUAUUAGUUGUCAAAAUAUUAAGCUGUUAAGUGUUUUAAAAAUUGAAGAUUUUUUUACAUACUAAUAAAUUUUGUUAACCCUGUAAUUGUUAAUGUGGGAUAGAUUUUAUUCGAGUAAUCAUAAGAGGCAAAAGCUACAUUAGCUCAAAUGUAUUAAGUUGUCUUUAUCCUGUAUAAGGUCAUUUAAAUUAUAUUUAAUUAUUACUUCAGUUUUUUCACUGCAUUAGUUUUAAGCUUUCGUCCUUUUAUAUAGUCAGUUAUUAAAAAAAAAUUUAAGGUAGCAGUACUUUUCAAUUAACCAUUAUCCCAGUAACAACUUUAGAAAACAAUGUAUCGGUGAUAGACCACGUAAUGCAUAAGUAGUCAAGACAUUCAAAACAAGACUCCUGGAUACUUCGGUAGUGAACAGAGGAUUCCUUAUUCAUCAAAUAUGAAACUGAGAACGUUGCAUGACCUAAAGGUUGUUUUUGGGGUGGAGCACUGUAAGGAACUAAGCAGUAAGGGAUGAAAGUGAUUAA